CUGGACUGUUUUCAUGCACUCACACUGAAAACUGCUCCACAAAGAUGUCGCCACUUACUUUGCUUCUCUUGCUGGGUUUUCUGAGUCAAGAGUCUUCUGCCAGCAAUUUCCUGACUCAGACUGACAAAGUCAUGUCUGUUAGUGUUGGAGGGACUGUGAACAUCAGGGCCACAGGGAGUUCAAACAUUGGUGGUGAUCUCAGUUGGUAUCUUCAGAAACCUGGACAGGCUCCAAAACUUCUUAUAUACUAUACAUCAACUCUCAACUCUGGAACUCCAUCUCGAUUCAGUGGCAGCAGAUCUGGUUCUGACUAUACUUUAACCAUCAGUGGAGUUCAGGCUGAAGAUGCUGGAGAUUAUUACUGUCUUGGUUAUCAUGGUAGUGGAGUGUACACUUUUGGUGGAGGAACCAAAGUCAUCAUCUUCUCCGGUGCCAAUGUCAGGCCCUCAGUCUCUCUGCUGCCCCCGUCCCCUAAGCAGCUCUCUGGGGGCUCGGCCACGCUGGCCUGCCUGCUGAGUGGCUACUCUCCUCAGGGAGCCGUGGUGAGCUGGGAGGUGGACGGCACGGAGGUGUCAGAGGGGGUCCUGAACAGUUUGGAGCAGGAGAAGAGCGGCCGCUACAGCAGCAGCAGCAGCCUGAGCCUGAGCCAGGAGCAGUGGCUGAAAGGAGAGAUGUACACCUGCAAGGUGGUCCAUCACGGCCACAACCAGGCCCAGACCCUGCACAGGAGCCAGUGUGAGGGUUAGUGGUGGUGAAUGAAGGCCUGACAACAUCGACUUUAACGUUUGAAGAUGAAAAUAAAGCUUUGAGUUUUUGUGCUGCGAGUGUGUUUCCACAAUGUCGUUCUGACGACUCGUGUUUUGCCAAUAAAUGUUGCAGUGAUACAAAACA